AGUCUCUCUCUCACUCAGAAUUCAGAAAAUCCAUUUACGAAUAAAGUCUCUCUCAAAAAAUUCUCUCUCUUUCUCUCAAAAUUGAAGCUCAUCUCAUCUCCGACGACGGGUUGAGGCGCGGUGGUCGGCAAUCUCAUCGCUGACGAUGAGCCAGCCUUUGAUAGACGGAGCCCUCUCCUCCGCCCCUUUGUCCGAUUACAGGUCUCUCUAUCUGUUUGAUAUUUCUCUUCCUCUCCAAUAAUAUAAUUUGGUGGCUAGGGUUUGGAAUCUGAAGUAUGGGUUGGAUUAUGAGGUUUGAACAUAUUAUAUUGAAGAGAUUCUUAAAAGGGAGUUGAUAAGUGUUAAUGGUGUUGUAUUUCAAUAGUAUCAAUUUAAUUUUUGUUUGCCUUGGGUUAUUGCACUUCAAUGGCUUUGUUCAACUUUACAUGGCAGAGAUUUUUUACACUCAUUUGUUUAUAAAACUUAAUAGAGCUUAUGAAUGUUAUAAAUUCAUUUUCAAGUUAUGAAGCUUGGAAUUGCUAAUCUUUUUCCCCCCUUUUAUUUGUUAUUGUUUUGUUCCAAUGAAUACAAAGCCUACAUUCUUUUUUUCUUUUUGUAGAAUCUUGUUUAUUCUUUUGUCGGUUUGUAUUUUUGAUAUUCGAGUAGUGAAUUUUUAUGGACUUGAUUAAUUCAAGUAAGAAUUUUUUCAUGAUUGGGAGCAGGUGCAGGAAACUAAUGUAAUGCAUGUACACAUAUGCAGUAUAUUGAUGCCUUAUGCAUCCAAAGAAGGAAAAGCUUAAAUAAAAAAUGAAGUUAUUUUAACUUAAUUAAACUCAGUAGCCAUUGCAAGAGAGGGAGAACCAGAGCUCGAAAGGAUUAGUUUUAUGAUGCUUUAAGUUAGUCAUAUGUAUUUUUUUAAUUAUUCCAUCCAGAGUGUAAUAAGCUAUUAGCAUUGCUAGGGACAAAAUGUUGUUUCUAAAAGCAGAAGGGAAGUCCCUAACAUUACCCAAGCCUCAAGAGUGAUAAAUGCAGCAGAAUUUUCUUGUCCAUAUUGGUAUCCUCUUGAGGUGAAGUCAUUGAUACAUAAAAUACUUGAUCCCAAUCCUAAAAAUGUACCCUGGCUUCAUUGUCAUGAUACAAUGAAAUGGACUGCAUUGGUAAUGGCCAUGACUCUAUCUCUAACAUGUUUCUUUGGCAGUUCUCUUCCUUGUAUGUUGCCGCCAAUCCUAUAAACUUAGAAAUGGUGUAACUGCUAGUUUUGAGCCAGGUUAAUGCCUUCCACUAAUGCACCAGUCUGAUUGUAGCAUCGUUGGGCUACAAAUUGCAAGACACGCAACUCAUGAUCCUCAAUGGAUAUAUUUUUAACAGUGAAAUCACCUGUCUUCGCUGUUACAUUGUCCUCACAAGUGAUGUAAAUUUUCUUAUUUAGAUAACAGCCAUAAGUCAAGCCAAAUGGAAAUGGUAUUUUUACAUUUCCACACAUAUAGUCGCAGCCAGGCUUGGCUGGAGCCGCUUCUGCUGCAGUUCAGUUAUUGCCACAAUUGUUGAUAUUAUCACUCCAAUCAAUGAGAUCUGGAUUAGCACCCCAUGUAAGCCCAUGGAGGCAAAUUUUAUUUCUCACCAAAAAUAUAUUUGUAUUCUAUUUUGUUA